rnacentral:rRNA from 1 species
GACGAACGCUGGCGGCGUGCUUAACACAUGCAAGUCGAACGGAAAGGCCCUGUUUUUGUGGGGUGCUCGAGUGGCGAACGGGUGAGUAACACGUGAGUAACCUGCCCUUGACUUUGGGAUAACUUCAGGUAACUGGGGCUAAUACCGGAUAGGAGCUCCUGCGGCUGGGUGGGGGUUGGAAAUCUUCGGCGGUUGGGGAUGGCCCCGCGGCUUUUAAGCUUGUGGGUGGGGCAGUGGCUUGCGACGGCUUGUAGGGGUACCGGGCCGGGGGGGGUGACCGGCCACAUUGGGCCUGGGAUACGGCCCAGACUCCUACGGGGGGCAGCAGUGGGGAAUAUUGCACAAUGGGCGGAAGCCUGAGGCGGCAACGCCGCGUGCGGGAUGACGGCCUUCGGGUUGUAAACCGCUUUCGCCUGGGACGAAGGGUGAGUGACGGUAAUGGGUAAAGAAGCACCGGCUAACUACGUG